rnacentral:rRNA from 1 species
UACGUAGGUGGCGAGCGUUAUCCGGAAUGAUUGGGCGUAAAGGGUGCGUAGGCGGCCUGCUAAGUCUGGAGUGAAAGGUACCGGCUCAACCGGUACAGGCUCUGGAAACUGGCGGGCUAGAGAGCAGGAGAGGGCGGCGGAACUCCAUGUGUAGCGGUAAAAUGCGUAGAUAUAUGGAGGAACACCGGUGGCGAAAGCGGCUCUCUGGCCUGUAACUGACACUGAGGCUCGAAAGCGUGGGGAGCAAACAGG